CUGUUUGGAGGUUGACUUGGUUGGGGCUGAUGGUUAUUUGAUGGGUUCUGGUGUGCCAGUUCAUGCAGUCCCCCCCUUCUCCAGCACUUCUGGUGUAUUAGUGAAGAGCUAUUGGAAACAGCAUUGAAUUAUCAUAGCCAUUUGUGGCUUUGUGGCUCUGCUACAUUUAUAAUGCUCCUGCAAUCUCUCCAGGGUGGUGUCUGUAUGCAGGUGUAUGGUGGGCUGGUGCAAUGGCUAACAGGUGGUGAGCCUGUGCGUAGUAGCAGUUAAAGGUAUUCUCAUGGCUCCUUGAAGACACCUGAGUGUUUGUGGUAUCCUUCCGGUGGUGGGGUGCUCCUGUGGAUGCUCCCCUUCUGUUUGGCACCUUGCUUGUGUGCAUGCGUGUGCGUGCGUGUGUGUGUUGGAGAUUUUAGGUUUUUGACCAGGCUAGGCCACUUAGUGGGAUGCUCAGUCAGUAUUUCCCCUUUUUG